AAAAACGGCGCGAAGAUCUCCGGGCCACAUGUGCUUAGCGGCGUCCACUCUGAAACCAGCCACUCCCAAACUUAUCAGGUGAUUCAAAUAUCCCGCGACGGUGUCACGUACGUAAUCCUUGGAUAGUUUCAGAUCGGCCAUACCCAGCAGACGACAGUUUCGCACUUCGUUAGGGUCGUUGUAAUUAUGGAUGCCGCCAUCUCCUGUGCUACAUUCGGUACCACCAUUAAAAUCCCAGGCAGAGAAAGGGACGCCGGGAUAGCUUAGGGUGCCGCUGUCCCAAUGAGAACCACCAGUUCCGGUUCCGGAUGCUCCAGAUCCGGUCAUGUGAUUAAACACGACGUCAGCAUAGAUUCUAAAUGCCCAGAUAAACUUGAAUAAAGAUCGGAGAAUGCAGAGUACCUUUGAUAUUCAAUUUACAUUUUUGGUACAAAACUUUUUGUUUAAGACAAAGAUCCUCAACGUGUUAAAUAUGCAAUUACAUUGUACCUAAUAACAGUGUUUAUUAAAUGAUGUCAAAUUUGCAAUACUUUAACAGUUGAUAGAAAAAAGAACGAAAAACUAUGAUUUCAUCAAUGACAGGAAUAAAAUGAAAGGCUUACCUCACGUUGACCUUAUUACAUCUCUGUAUCAUAUCUCGGAGAUCAGCCUCAUUUCCGCUUCUGGUGACCAGGUUGUAGGACACGGGCUGAUAUCUUUCCUCCCAGGGUCGGUUAGGAUUAGUCACUAUUCUGUUCUCACUUGGAGGGGAAAUCUAGAUUAAAUAACAGUUGUCCAGUAACAAAUUAAAAUCCUUUGUUGUGGGAUUAAAGAAGAAAAAUUCCAUAAAUUACUAGAGAUGCCAUGCCUAUCAUUUGCAGAGAUAUUUUGUCUUCUUGUGUCUCAGAUUGAUAUGAUAUGGAUGUAUUAUAUAAGUUAACAUGCCCAUGGUACAGAUGAUUUAAGGUGUGCUAUAUUUAACAAGUCAACAACGUGUUAACAUGUCCUUGGCUGUGAUGAUAAACAGGUAGAUGUAUUUUCUGAGUUAACGUGUCCAUGGUUGAGAUGAUAUAAGUGUAUUAUACGAGUCCUUGGUUGAGAUGAUAUAGAUGUAUUAUGAGUUAACAUGCCAAUGGUUGAGAUGAUUUAAGAUGUGUUAUAAUUAGCAGGUCCAUGGUUGAGAUGAUUUAUGGGCUAUAUUUAGCCAUGGUUAAAAUGAUGUAUAUGUUUACAAUGUGUUAACAUGUCCUUGGAUGAGAUGAUAUAUAUGCCUGUAUAUAAUGUAAAUGGUAAGAAAUAUAUAGGUGGACAAUUUGUUAACAUGUAUAUGUGGGAUAAUUUCUGGGUGUACAAUAUGCUAACAUAUUCAUAGUUGAUAUAUAUGUGUGCAAGUUGUUAACAUGUAUGUAAUUGACAUGAUGAGAUGAUAUAUUAUUGAGAAACUAGUAUGACGUACUAACCUGGACCCCGCAGUACCCCAUGGGACCGAGGAAGCGCUCACACUCCGCGGCGAUGUCGCUCCAUUUCCACUCAAACAGGUGCGUGAUGGUGUGACGUCCCGGGGCACAGGUCGGGUUACUCCAGGUCCCACCGCGGACUGAAACACAACAACCAAAACUAUUGCAUGAUGGGAGCUAGUACUGGAGGGAUCAUGUGACUUUGCCGAACACUAACCUAUUGUAAUACAACACUGUGUUUCUCAAGAGCUGUGCAUGCGGACUUUUUACCAAUUGUUUUUUAUUAUAUAUAAUAGUAUUCGUUUUCAUGUAUUCAAAAAUAAAUAAUACAA
rnacentral:sRNA from 1 species